rnacentral:lncRNA from 1 species
CUUUAGGGUUUUCUACCUGUAAAAUUAUGUAAUCUCCAAACAGAGCUCAUUUUACUUCUUCCUUCUUGGGUAGUUGCCAGGGGCUGGGGGGAGGAAGAAAGAGAGGGUUGUUUAAUGGGAUAAAGUUUUAGAUGAAUGUGUUCUAGAGAUACACUAUACAGCAUAGUGCCUAUAGUUAACAACAUUACAUUAUGAACUUAAAAAUUUGUUAAGAAAGACCAAUGACACAGAAGAAAGAACCCAGAAAUAAAUUCAUUUAUUUACAGUCAGUUGAUCAUUGACAGAGUUACCAAGAACACACAAUGGGGAAAGGACAGUCUCUUCAAUAAAUGCUGAGAAAACUGGAUAUCCACAUGCAGAAGAAUGUAAUUAGACCCUUAAUUCAUACCACAUACAAAAAUCAACUGAAAGUGGAUUAAAGACUUAAACAUUAGAUCUGAAACUGUAAAACUACUAGAAGAAAACAUAGAGAAAAAGCUUCUUGACAUUGAUCUAGGCAAUAAUUUUUUGGAUAUGACCCCAAAAGCACAAGCAACAAAGCAAAAAUAGACAAAUGGGAUUGAAUCAAGUUAAAAAGCCUCUCCAUAGCAAAGGAAACAAUAAACAGAGUAAAGAGACAACCUAUGGAGUAGGAGAAAGAACUUGCAAACCAUAUUCCUGAUAAAGAGCUAAUGUCCAAAGUACAUAAGGAACUCAAACCACUCAAUUGCAAGGCAACAAACAACCUGAUUUAAAAAUGUGCAAAAUACCUGAAAAGAUAUUUCUCAAAAGGAAACAUAUAAUGGCCAACACAUAUAUGAAUCACUCUUAUUCACUCAACAUCACUGAUUAUCAGGGAAUUGCAAAUUAAAAUCACAAUAAGAUAUCUUUUCACACCUGUUAGAAAGCUAUUAUCAAAAAGACAAAGGAUAACAAGCGUUGGCGAGGAUGUGGAGAAAAGGGAAUGCUUGUACAUUUGUGGGUAAAUUGGCACAGCUAUUAUGGAGAACAGUAUGGAAGUUCCUCAAAAAAUUAAAAAUAGAGCCACCAUAUUAUCUAGGGAUCCCACUUAUAGGAAUACAUCCAAAAGAAAUGAAAUUAGUAUGUUGAAGAGAUAUUUGCACUCCCAAGUUCAUUGCAGUAUUAUUCACAAUAGCUAUGAUAUGGAAUGAACCCAAGUGUCCACUGAUGGAUGAAUGAAUAAAGAAGAUGUGGUAUAAAUAUACAAUGGAAUACAAUUUGGCCUUAUGAAAAGAAAAUCCUGCCAUUUGUGACAACAUGGAUAAAAUUGGAAUACAUUAUGCUAAGCGAAAUAAGCCAGGCACAGAAAGACAAACACUGAAAGAUCUCACUUACAUGUGGAGUCUAAGAAAGCCAAACUCAUAGAAGCAGAAAGUAGAAUGGUGGUUGCUAGGGUUAAGGCAGAGGAGGGAGAAUGAGAACAUGUUGGAUAAAGGGGGUGUGAACUUUCAGUUAAAUGGAUAAAUAAGUUCUAAAGAACUAUUGUACAGCAUGGUGACUAUAGUUAAUAAUAAUAUAUUACAUACUUGAAAAUUGCUAAGAGAGUGGAUCUUAUGACCAAAACAUAUGUGAGGCAAUAGAUAUGUUAAUUAGCUUGAAUCAAUCAUUUCACAAGAUCUAUCUAUCUAUCUAUCUAUCUAUCUAUCUAUCUAUCUAUCUAUCUAUAUGUCAAAACAUCACAUUAUAUACUGUAAAAUAUAUAAAAUUUUUAUUUGUCAAUUAUACCUUAAUAAAACUGGGAGAAAUUGUUAAGAGGAUAAAUCACAUGUUAAGUGUUCUCACAGCAACAAAAAGCAGAGCAAAACAAAAUGAAACAACAAACAAGAAGCACAAGACAACUUUUGGAGGUGAUGAACAUGUGUAUUACUUUGCGGUGAUGAUUUCACGGGUGUAUGCCUAUGUCCAAACUGAUCGAAUUGUAUCUAUUAAACGUGCAGCUUUUUGUAUAUCAAUUAUACCUCAAUAAAGC